ensembl:snRNA U6 U6 spliceosomal RNA
GUGCUCGAUUCGGCAGCACAUAUACUAAAAUUGGAAAGAUAAAGAGAAGAUUAGCAUGGCCCCUGUGCAAGGAUGACACACAUAUUCGUGAAGUGUUUCAUAUUAAA